GCAUAUCAAUAAGCGGAGGAAAAGAAACCAACAGGGAUUGCCUCAGUAACGGCGAGUGAAGCGGCAACAGCUCAAAUUUGAAAUCUGGCCCUAGGCCCGAGUUGUAAUUUGCAGAGGAUGUUUCUGGCGAGGUGCCUUCCGAGUGCCCUGGAACGGGACGCCAUAGAGGGUGAGAGCCCCGUACGGUUGGUCGCUAAGCCUCUGUGAAACUCCUUCGACGAGUCGAGUAGUUUGGGAAUGCUGCUCUAAAUGGGAGGUAUACGUCUUCUAAAGCUAAAUACCGGCCAGAGACCGAUAGCGCACAAGUAGAGUGAUCGAAAGAUGAAAAGCACUUUGAAAAGAGGGUUAAAUAGUACGUGAAAUUGUUGAAAGGGAAGCGCUCAUGACCAGACUUGGGCCGGUUGAUCAUCCGCCGUUCUCGGCGGUGCACUCUGCCGGCUCAGGCCAGCAUCAGUUUGGUCCGGGGGAUAAAGGUGUAGGGAAUGUGGCUCCCCCCGGGGAGUGUUAUAGCCCUGCGCGUAAUACCCUGGACUGGACUGAGGUUCGCGCAUCUGCAAGGAUGCUGGCGUAAUGGUUAUCAGUGACCCGUCUUGAAACACGGACCAAGGAGUCGUCUUCGUAUGCGAGUGUUCGGGUGUCAAACCCCUACGCGUAAUGAAAGUGAACGUAGGAGAGAGCUUCGGCGCAUCUCCGACCGAUCCUGAUGUUCUCGGAUGGAUUUGAGUAAGAGCAUACGGGGCCGGACCCGAAAGAAGGUGAACUAUGCCUGUAUAGGGUGAAGCCAGAGGAAACUCUGGUGGAGGCUCGCAGCGGUUCUGACGUGCAAAUCGAUCGUCAAAUAUGGCAUGGGGCGAAAGACUAAU
rnacentral:rRNA from 1 species